rnacentral:rRNA from 1 species
AGCGGCGAACGGGUGAGUAACACGUAGGUGAUCUGCCCAUCAGACGGGGACAACGAUUGGAAGCGAUCGCUAAUACCGGAUAGGACGAAAGUUUAAAGGUGCUUCUGGCACCGCUGAUGGAUGAGCCUGCGGCGCAUUAGCUAGUUGGUAGGGUAAAGGCCUACCAAGGCGACGAUGCGUAGCCGACCUGAGAGGGUGAACGGCCACACUGGGACUGAGACACGGCCCAGACUCCUACGGGAGGCAGCAGUAGGGAAUCUUCGGCAAUGGGCGAAAGCCUGACCGAGCAACGCCGCGUGAAUGAUGAAGGCCUUCGGGUUGUAAAAUUCUGUUAUAAGGGAAGAACGACUUUAGUAGGAAAUGGCUAGAGUGUGACGGUACCUUAUGAGAAAGCCACGGCUAACUACGUGCCAGCAGCCGCGGUGAUACGUAGGUGGCGAGCGUUAUCCGGAAUUAUUGGGCGUAAAGAGCGCGCAGGUGGUUGAUUAAGUCUGAUGUGAAAGCCCACGGCUUAACCGUGGAGGGUCAUUGGAAACUGGUCGACUUGAGUGCAGAAGAGGGAAGUGGAAUUCCAUGUGUAGCGGUGAAAUGCGUAGAGAUAUGGAGGAACACCAGUGGCGAAGGCGGCUUCCUGGUCUGUAACUGACACUGAGGCGCGAAAGCGUGGGGAGCAAACAGGAUUAGAUACCCUGGUAGUCCACGCCGUAAACGAUGAGUGCUAAGUGU